GAUUGUGGCUCAGUGGUAGAGCGAUGGCCUAGCAUGUGGGAGUCGCUGGGUUCGAUCCUCAGCACCA
rnacentral:tRNA from 1 species